CUGCCAGCUCCCCGUACACACACACGCACACACACACACGCACACACAAACACAAACCCAUGCACACCGUCAAGCACACACACAUCCAAGUAGGCCUGUGUGUAGGCGUGCAAACACACCCUGGCUCAAACAUUUCAACACACACACACAGAUUCUUCGUAGGACCAACUUCUCCUUUUUACUCAAGAAAAUAAGCACAUGACACAGUAAACCAAAUGAAGCUGCUCUUAAGUUACUUGGCAUCUCCCCACCUCUCUCUCUUUAGUAGAUAACAAAACUGUUUUACGGAGAAUUUGAUACUCUUGACGGGAAGAGAUAGAGAGAACCAACUAGAGAGAAUAAGGGAGGGGUGAGAGAAAGGAGGGAGUGAACAGGAGGGAGGGACAGAGGAAGAGAGCGAGAGAAAGGUGCUUCAUACAAGUACUAGUGCAGGGGACGUCAUCCACACAAGUUAAAGUCUAAUGCCUUUAUGGUGGAUUGAUCAUUUCAAACCCAACCGUUCUCUCCAAGCAACGUGUGGGUCUCGUGACUUUUUUGGUUCACCGUUGCUGCAAUCUCUCACGCUGCACCUGAAAUAGACAGCUGACAUACAGAAAAGUAAAGUGAAGUGCAGGGGGAGGAGAAAACGGAAGAGCGAGAGAGGAAGAGAAGGGUUGUGUCUUUCCGGCCUAUUUGCACACAAGUACACCCUAGUUAACCACAAGCCCAGCAACCAGGAGAGACAGCAAGAGAACAAAAGUUUGACUACGUAAAUGCACUUCAAAUGCUUAACACUCAGUCAAACCUUAGAUUAUUAACAAGAGCAAGGCCUGAAAGAAAGGGAAAAUUUGAGAGCAGUGAAGAUCAAGGCCUGACACAACCCUAGUCAAACCAAGAACCUCGGUAGCUGAUGACGGAUACUGCUUUUCUUUUCUAGAAUGUGAAUUUUUCUCCUCUAGACUUGUAAAACAAACCUGCAAUACCUUUCAAGCCACAAGGCUGUCACUGACGCACCUCAGAGAGAGGAAGACAAACAUAAUCUGAGAGAGGUCAGCAAAACCCUUUUUAGUGACUGUUGACCUCCGUGACCCCUCUCAGUUCUUGCCCAGUAUGGAGUGGGUACGACUGAUGCUCGGGGCUAUGCUCCUCUCCCUCUCUCUGCCCAGUCUCCCUGCCCAAGAUAAUGUCCCCAUCACUGUACCUGAAUAUGGCAUGGCAGCACCUACUACUGAGGACGGCACGAUGGCAGCCUCUUCACCCGAGGCCACCACCAAGACAACGACUGCUCCCGUGGUCGUCACUACAGCACAGCCUGUCACUGAAAUCACCCUGGUAACUUCUGUUCCAGUACUUAUCAUAGAUAACAUCACUAUAGUACUAACAGACCCUGAGAUCGCAACCAUUCAGGAGCCCACCUCUGAUGCACCAACUACUACUUCAGAGGCUGAGACGAUGACACCAUCCCCUGUGAUCACUGAAGGGCCUGUAGAUACGACCACUCCACCUGGCCCAAAAUCCACCCUCUCCCAAGACGUCCUGACUACCACCUCUUAUCUCCCAACCACAUCCCAGGACCACCUGACUUCUGUUAUCCCAGUCGGGCCCCUCCACACCACCCCUCAUCUGACGAACGACUCCUUUACUACACCUGAACCUAUCCACACUGCCUCAGAGAGUACUGCCAGCCACACAGAGGGACUUACCCAAGCACCCGCCUCCCCAUCGGUCAACAGCGCUCCCAGCCAUUUCACAACCCCCGCUACGACCUCCUCCUCCACAGAUCAUGACUCUACGGUGGGCAGGGUCAAGCGAAGUCCGCUCAGCUUGUUCUGGAUCAUCAUCGCCAGUCUCCUGGUCUGUGUUAUAUUCCCGGGCAUGGUCUACUGCAUAUAUCUGGGCGUCAGACGAAAGAGGCAGUGCCGCACUGAGUACUUUGGGUCCGGCGUCCGGAACGGGAAGAGUUCCAAGUGGAAGAAAGGAGCAGAGGAAGAUGCCUGGGCGGGGCCAGUGAAGCUAGGGGGCGGGGACAGGGAGGAGGGUGAGGGCGUGGAGGAGGGAGGGAGCCCAGAGGACAACAAGAGAGAGGGGGCUGGAACAGAUGUUGUGCUGAGCACAUUCAUAGCCAACGAGACCGAGGGAGAGAGGGGUGGGCCUGAUGGGGCAGUUGGAGUGGCUGGGAGCAAGGAGGCGGAGAAAUGGGAGGAGAAGGAGCCUCUGUUGUACAUUGAUGAGGGAGUGGAGGAGGUGCUGGAGAUAAUGGCUCCUCCUUCACUUUCAAAAUCUGACUCUGAGAAAAAGACAGGAGGGGGCAACAGAGAGGGAGAAAGUGAAAAGGAGAUGGAGAGGGGAGAAGGGAAUGGAAAGAAAGAAAAUGAGAGUGAAAGAGGUGAGCAGAAUGGAGGAGCGGCAUUCUGUCUAACGACUGCAGUUUAAAAAUAGAACAGUUUUCCAUGAAAAAAAAAGGUUUUCUAGAUGAUAAUUGUAAAGGUUUCUAAUAUUUUUGUACUACUGAAAAGGCCUUUAACAUUGUAUUGAUCUGUGAUUGUGUGCUCUAUCAACAAAACAAAUGGUUGUGUGUAUAGCCAUACGUUUUACCAGUUGUAUUUUGUAUGGUGUUAUUUCUUAACCGUUUUCAGUUUAAUAAAGUUUUAGGAUGUGGAGAGAAUGUGCUAGAAUGAAGUUGUUGAACUUGACAGAAUAUGAAUACUUUUUGCUUAAUCAUUUGCUGUCCGCAAAUGCACUUUAUUUCUGGAACUGCUGGACUCAAUAGCACUCAAUUCAUAGGGAGGAAUCUUGACGUCCACUGAAGUUGAAUAUUCACUUAAUCAUGCAUUGAUGUCAAUGGGAGACUAAGUGAAUAUUUGACUUCAGUAGAAGUUAGGAUUUGUCUCAUAGUUAGGCUUUGAUUUUAUGUGUUGCCGAUUAUGGCCACUAGGUGGUGUCUUUCCCUAUCUUUAUGAUCAGAGAACAGUUCAAUUAUGUAACCUGCAGUAAAGAGCUGGUGUGGUGGUGACGCACAGGCCUUCCGUUCUAUUGGUCUGUUUUUGCACAGUUGCAUCUGUUGCAAACAUCUAGCAGAAAAACAACAGGUACCUCAAGCAGAGAUCAAACACAGUUUUUCAGGCAAACAACUAAAUCAGGGAAAACCCUCUGCUGUGAUCACACAUGAAACCUAGAUAUAACAACAACCACUUUUACUAAGAUUGAUCACUGUAAAGGCAAUGUCCUUGGUAGGACAUGUUACGUACGUAAGCCAAAAUGUUCUAUUUUAUCCUGGUCAAAACUCCACUACACCCC
ensembl:lncRNA